GUUUUUUGCACCAUCCCAAGCGGGUGCCAGUAAAAUCUUUAUACCCUACCACAGGCUCAGGUACCACACUUUUCCAAAGGAAAACAUAUUAUGCAGAGAAAUUAUUUUCUUAAAGAGAAUACAUUAGAGAAAGGAUAUAAAACUUUAUUGUCGCUAUAUUUCCUACCCCCUACUUCAGUAAGCCAACUUUCUCAAGCGCUACAUGCUGAGGAAGGGAGGAAGGAGGGAAAUAAGGCAUUAGUCAGAUGGGGGAACUUCUGAGAGCGCUUCAAAUAACGUUGCUUAAAAGCAAUGCCUCAGUUUUAAGACCCGGCGCCUUAGGAACGGAGAUGGAUGGAAAGUUCUUUUCUUCCUGCCAUUCACAACCAGAGAUGUGCUGCCCCGAACACAGAGGAUGUCGAUCCGUCUCUUCUGCUACGAUUCCAAAAUCAAUUCCAUCGCCCUGUAGCGCUCCUUGAUCCUUCGCUGACUUCAGCAGAGCUGCAAGCAGUGGGGCAGUUCAUGAUCAGAUGACUUUCCAUUGACUCUGGGAGGCUUCUGGGUGUCUCUCCCAGCUCCUUAUUUUGUAAGCACUUACUGAAAUGCUGCCUGAAAAAACAAACACGAAGCUUAAAUCACUGGUCCAAGUCCCGGGGGGAUAUUCCCAUUCACUCCAAUGGGCACCGGCCCAGGCUCUCACUGUGCAGAGCAUGGUAACUUCAUUGCAAUAGGCCCUGUGAAGGCUUUGCCAAAUUAAAGUUAAAAUUUUGUAAUUCUUUCAGUUUAAUUGUCCAUUGUAUCUGAUCCUGAGCGACUCCUUCAGACUUCGGAAAUAAUCAGACCACUGGGUGAAAUCCUGGCUUCACCGAGGUCAAUGGCAGAAGCUUCCACGGACUUAAUGAGGCCACAGGCUCUCCCCACGUCUUCUGUGGUGUUAUUUAUGUUGUGGUUCAAUGAGCGGUUGUCUAAUGCAGAUGCGUAAAUGACUCCUAAUGAGAUCAAGAUCCCCACGGUGGUUGGGGUUGGACGAGAAUACGAUCUUGGCUGUCUGUGAUCAAGGACAGCGGGUUUAGGAGGAAGAUACAGAGCGAACAUGAGUGGCCUGUGCACUGCCUGCUGGCAGAAAUUUGGCUCCCGUUGCCCUGUCCCACUGAAACCCUUCCACAUCACUGAUGGAUCCAUAGAUAAUCAAUGGAGACUGAUGGCUAAGGGUUCAGACUGGGGCACGACCGCCAGUGAAAAGGGGUUUGAUUCAAGGCUUUGAAACAGAAAACAAACCUUUCUGAAAAACAAAAUCACCCAUUAAAGUUGAUGAUAAUGUGAAAAAUGUUCAUCUCACCCCCAGAAAUGUACUUUCUUUCCACGUUAAGGAAGUGAAACACAGAACGCGAUAAGGAGCGUUAGAGGACUUCUUCUCUGCCAGAAACCGGUUGGUUGCAAAUGCCUUCAAAUGAAAACAACUCAGAAAUUUCAAAAAUGUUUGCAAAAGGACAUUUUCACUUUUCAACCAACUCUGUUAUUGAUUUUCCAGGCUGAAUGAGGAAUGCUUGUUGAAUUUUAUGGAAACUGAUAGUGGGACUAUAUGAAACUGGCCAUAAAAGAUAACAGAUUUUGUUUUAAAGUCAGAUAAAAGUUAUAGUCCCAUGUUAUUUGGCAUAUGAAUUUCCUAUGAUACCAAUAAAAAUGUUAGUUAUAAAGCAUUUCCUGAGGAAUGGUUGUAACCCCAAAUGAUCAUGGUUAUUUGCUAAGGAAAAUAGGUUUUAUUCUGAACAAUAAACCUAUGCAGAUUUAUUAACCUGGGAAGCACACAGCCAUUCCGUGUACCAAUCCGGUUCGAGCUGAUGGAAUUAAUAACACUGAUAUAAUGAAAAAUAUCUUUUACACUCCAAAACCAUUGCCUGCAUAAUGUCACAUAUAAAAGAGUUUACUUAACAGCCCUUUAGCUCUAUUUUCCCAUUCUUUGCAGAAGUCUUCAUUCACAAUGGAUUGGUUCUAUUUAAAUGGUGAUAUUUGCUGUGUAUCGUGUUACUGCAGCUCUAUUCCCCGCAGAUGAAUGAAAGUUGAGCACGAACUAACAAGAAAAAUACUCCAAAGAUGAGAAUUUGAAGCAACCAAAAAUGCCUUUCGUGCUUUAAAGGUGAUAGCAAGUGAAAGUGAUGGCUGUGCUUCAGCUGGAGUUCACAGCAGAGAUUUCACUCAUAAGUAGCCCACACCCCCUGGAACUGCACAAUAGGAAACAAGUAGGAAGGAUGCUGAAUGGAGAGUUGAGUGGUGCUUGCUUUGCCAACUCCUGAAGCCACUGUCUGCUUCCUCAAGGUUUGGAUCAGGAUGGGGAUGAGCAUUUCGUGCCCCAGUGGUGGAUGUCAGGAUGCAGAGCUUGUGGGUUCCUUUGUAAAGUGUCCUCUGAGACCACAGCCCUGUCGGACAGACUGAUGACACCCAAGUGAAUGUGCCUCCACAUUGUCCCAGCCAGGCAGCUCUGCAGCAGCGGGCAUUCCUGCUGCCAGGGAAAGCAACUGGAGAGCCUUCAGCCUCCCCUCCCCUCAACUUUACAGGCACACCUGGCACAAUGAUGCUUGUAAAUGGGAGGGAGAGAGUUAAUGGUGGAAUUUGGGUUUUGUACAAAUCAGCACAUUCUACUUUUAUAAAUGCACGUAUCUAUAUAUAGAGAGAGGGGUGAACGUUCCAGCGCGACAUCGCAUUUUUAUCAAGAAGAACCCAAGUCUACAGGCUGGAUAUUAAGCCAAACAGCAUGUUUGCAGGUAAUUAGUGUUUAUAAUCAGUUUGUAAAGCUAAAGUGACUCCAGAUCGCAAUGUGCUCAAGGAAAAAAAAAAAAAAAAGAAAAUGUAGAAAAGAUUUUUUUUUCUUUGCCCAUGCAUGCAAAUGCCAAAUUAACAUCUGCAUACAAUAUAUGCUUUGGUCAGACUGAAAAUAUUGUUGUGGUUAUGGCCAAUUCACUUAAAAGCCUAUAUGUUUAAAACCUCACAUUAGUAUGGAUGAAAUGUUUUCUGUUCCUUUAACUUUUUUAGGGCUUUUUUUUUUUUUUUAAGUUAAAGUUUCACAUUAAUGGUACUUAUAAACCACAGCUGUUUCACUGCACUAUGUAACAAUAGUGUUUUGUAUCUGAGCAAGUUUGGAAAUCUUCAUGCUUACUCAAUUCUUCCAAAACCAAAAGCAACCCCACUUGUUCCUUGAAAUGGAAGAGAUAUAUGUAGUGUUUGCAAAACAAUUAGAUUCCUGACAACUUUUCAUAAAGAUGAUGUUUUGCUAUUGCUUUGGAGAUGAGAUGAAUUUCAGGCUUGGAGUCAGAUGAGAUUUGACAGUGUUGGGCCUGGUUCUGUCAUUGCUGUGGUGUGGGGGACGCUGAACUGCUGCUUGCUGUGCCCCCAAACCUCUGCUGGGACUCAGAUGUGAUAGGCAAAGCUUGAGAAAAACUCAGAUACAGUGGAUAAGUGCCCAGAGGUAACGGUGUGGAGGAGCAGAAGCUCCAUCCUGGUCUACUUGCCAGGUUAGAUGGGGCCAUGGGCAGCCUGGUGUGGUGGGGGCAACCUGCCCAUGGCAGGAGGUUGGAACUGGAUGAUCUUUAAGGACCCUUCCAAGCCAAGACAUUCUACUACUCUAUGAUUCUACUGUGGGUUCAGAACGCCCUUUUUUUGGCAAGCUUCCCCUGCCACACCAAAUCCUCUGGCAGAUAGAAAGUACAUCCAAAUUCACAGUGCGAGGAUUGACCCCAAGAGCCUGGUUUUGUUUGGCCAAGGGCUGGGAGCAGCGCUUUGCCCUCCAGGGUUGUUUCCAUGAGGCUGUUUGCUCUCCUAGACCUGUCUCUCUGGAGCCAUGGCCAUGUUGGUGGCAGUGACGGCAGCGGUGUUCCUGACAGAGGGUGUUUGAUUCUCGCCUCCGAGCAGAAUGUGUAGAGCUGUGUUAGUUGUUGUUUUAUUUUUCCUCCUCAGCACAUUUCAUCUCUUUCUUCGAGCCUCCGGUUUUCCGGGAGAGGUUUUGAAGUGGCCUCAUUUGUAAUCUGACCUCUCUUCAUGUCAUAUUUGCGUCAUCAGCUCUGGGGGCCAUGCUAGGAUGCUGACAAGUAUUUCUGGCUUUAAAAUAUGACUCUUUGGCAACCCAAAGAAGAAAAAAAAAAAAAGACAAAUACCCCACUGACUUUGGAGUGUUUCUGCAUAAAAUGGAGAGGGCUCAUGGCACAAUGCAACUGCAACCAAGAGUGUCCCAGGACACCGCUCUGCUUUAUUACCAGUGGUUAUUGCAAGACCAGUAGGGGGACUGGUUGGCUGGAGAUGCCUAUGGCAAAAGGAAUGUGGACACAGUGCUGGGGUAGAGCAGGGGCAAUCAAAGCUCUGAGAAAAUGCAUUUUUGCUGUUUUCCUAUCAGCUGGGGCUACGUCAGAAACCAUCAGCAGCACCUGGUGUUAGAUCCGGUGCUCGUGCAAAGAGAAAAGAGGUGCAUCUUCACGAACUCAGUGGAGCUACGUAGAUUUCUGCAAUCGUAACAUCUGAAAAAGAGAAAAAGAAAUGGGCUUAUGUAGACUUAGAAGUAAUCUCUAUUAAUCCCCCAAUUCUUCAAGACGGUCUUCAAGAGUUUUGGGUUUUACGUGCAUGUCAGCAUCUACAAGGUUGAAACCAAAGGAUGUUCCAGCCAGCCCCGAAAUGAAAAACCUAAAUAUGAAAUAUUAAAAACAGAUCGGCUCUAGAGAAGAACUUUGACAUCGCCACAAAUCUGAAGAAGAAAGGGAAAACUCUGGCACUGAAAUUCAGGAUGACAUCACUUUCUGAGAACCUGAUGCCAAAACAGUGCUAUCUCUGGGAGAGCUUCAGUGAAAGCUUUUGUCAUCUUUGCCAGGUUAGUAUAGCUUUGAGAUAAAAAGCACUUUCUUAUUUAUUCUGCAGGAUGGGGGGGCGAGGCAGGGGGUGCGUUUUCCCCUGGGAAAUAUUACAUUCAGAUAUGUAGUAUCCAUUCCAGCAGCAGAAGACUUGCCAUCUUUGAGCAAGUCAUUGAUCUUCCUUCCCUAACGUGUUCAAAAACCCAAUGACACACAAUGCUUCUGAAAGAAGCCUGGAAACCACAGUGCUCCUUGGUGGCUGCGUAAUGCUAUACUCGGGGCUCAGCAAUUUAUUUCUUAUUUUUAUUUUUUUAUUUUUUACUUCAAUUUAUCAUCACCAGCUUUCUGCAAAUUGUCAAGAGGAGCCCCUGUCAAAACCCUGACACCGCCACUCUCCUUUUGUUUUCCCCCUACGUCCAUCAGUUCAGUGGGGGGUUCCAAAAAGAUACAAUGAAAUGCAAAACCCGGGGAGGAAAUCAGCUUUGCUCUGCACUGCCUGCAGUGUGCAGAGCUCUCUCGCUUGCUUUUUUUUUUCCCCUUCCCGGCAGCAGGGACAGCAGGUAGCUCCUUCCCUCUAAAGCUCCAGGUCAUAAACGUCUCUCAGCACCUUCAGGAAAUAAAAGCCCUGCGCUGGUGGGGCGGAUGCCUUGGAUACCAAACAAGUGACAUAAAUAUUGCGGCGGUAUGAGGUGUCGAUGCUAGCAAGGGGCUGUAAGAACAGAACUACAGCUGCGUGGAUUAUCACAGGCUCCUCUGGGACUGCAUGGGUAGAACAUGUGGGGUUGCAUGGAUAACACCUCUGGGACUGCAUAGGUAGCACAUUGGGACCGCCCAGAGAGCACCUAUGGGACUCUCCAGGUAACACCUCUGGGAAUCCCUAGAUAACUCAUUUAACACUCCACAGAUGCUACCUUUGGGUGUUAUCCCCAGAUAACACCUCUGGGAUUCCCCAGAUAGCACUCCUCCACAUGGAGUGGUGGGUGCUGCUUCACACCCUCACAUCUGACUGCAGAGGAACACCAGGUUUGCCUGGGUAGGCAAUGCAGACAGCAGGGCUAGAGAUGCAGAUGUGUGGCAUUUAAGGAAAAGCUGAGGGGGCUGUAAAGCUUUGGAUGGAAAAGGCCAUCCAAGAUUUGUGUCCAACAGAAAUCCAUCGUCAAAAAUUGCCACUUUUGGAGCACCAUACUAGGGAUGCCAAAGGUGAAUUGUCCGAAGCAAGGCAGAAAUCCUGCUUGCUGUGGAAGGGAGCAGCAUGCACAGGCAGGGUUUGCAACCAGAGCUGGGAAGGAAAGGGACAGCGUGAGGAAGGGCUGAGCAGUGGGGCCAGGUCCCAGAGCCAGCAGGGAGGGAGCAGACCGCAGCCCAUCCUGGCUAUCAGCACCUUUAGCAACGCUCGUCUGAGGCACGUCCAGGUUUCAUCACCUUCCAUGGCCUCGUUCUCUCCGUGCCAGAUAUAUUUGUUGUUAAUUAAGACAAUUGGAAAGAGACCGGAUGACUGCCAGAGCAGAUGCACUGGGAUAGCUCCCAACAUGGAAAGCAUCUCCUGCAACAUGUCAUUCCCUUUGUUCAGGUCUCUCCUUGAGCACCCAUUUAGGUUUGGAUCACUACCGGGCAUCCCACUUUCCCAGGUCCCUCCGGCCCAUUGGGAUGGGUGCCCAAAGGGCUGUUUGGGAGGAAACCCUAUGAAGUGUCUGAGCAUUCUGGGAUUCAGUGUCCCAUUUGCAAAAGCAACUUAUGCAAUUGUGGGAAAGUUUAUAAAUAAUUUGCAGCUCAUGGCUUGGUUUGUAACUUCUACUGGGAGCCAGGCGGAGUGGGGGGCGUAUUCUGUGUAUCCUUCUGCAUACGCUCCUGUAGGAGGACGGGGAUCCGGUUACAAAGACCUCAAAACAUUUGAACCAGUUGGAGUUGGAUGAUUGUAUAUAGGCUGUUCUGAAAUAUAACCAACAUUUACUGAAAGCUGACCCUGCGUGAGAGCCGGCGCUUUGGCCAGCGUGGUCCCCAGUGGCGCUGCUCAAGCAGGUGUUGGUGACCCUGCAGAACGAGUUACGGAUGGGGACGUGCCUGCAGCGCCCUGCAGUCCAGGCUGCUGGGGGAAGGUGAGCAGCAAAGCCACAGUGAAGUCAGAACUGGAAAACACCCAUCCUGGAAAUUCGUAUCCUGAACGUGUGCCCCAUCCUUGUGAGCACUGCGGUGACAUGGUGCAUGGCACUGUGCAAGUGGGAGCAGCCACGAUCUGUGUUCGUGCCAAACACCUGCAACCCCUUUCCAACAGCACUACUCACUUCGGUUUCACAUCUUUAUGUUUCUUAGUGUGUCACAAAGAAAAUAAACACAUGCUCCACCAAUGAGUCUCCUCGAAUGAGAUCCAUAACGUUCCUCAUGGUGCUCCACGCUUCCCAAAGAAACGGAGCUAGAGAUAGAUGGCUCACGUAGAGCUGAUGGAAACAGUUUGGAGCUAACUUUUUCCAUCAGAAAAUGUCACCUCAUCAAAAUGGAUAUGUUCCGAGGGAUGGGAUCGAUUUUGACAAAAUCUUCAGUGGAAAAGUGUCAGAAUGAAUUGUUUCCACCCUCUUGCUUUGUUGCCAUAAACUCAGAAAGUUCCGCUCUGAUCAAGCUCAAUUUUCUCUGGGCUGUGUCAGCCUGCCUGAUGCAGAGAGCAAUUUGCUGUGAGCCUGGAUGGCAGCGAUCAGUGCAGCACUGCCCAUUCUUCUUUGGGAUGUGCCUGGGGCUUUUGCUCCCAGUGUUUCACUGCCAUGGGGGGAGGAACCAGCCAGGUGCAUGGGGCACACAGUGAUGCUGCUUGGGGGUCUCUGCUGGCCCCCAAAUGCAGAGCAGCACAUUCCUGCCAGCAGCCCUCCUCCCAGGAAUCCCAGCACCCUCUGAUCCCAUCGCCCCUGCAGUUCACCUCUCACCACCUGUGGCCACAUCAGCCCCAUUUCCCUCCAGAUGAAGCUGGGAGACGGGCAGCAGCAGCUUUCCCACCAUCCACUCAUGUGCUCAAAGCAGGGUUUGAGCCCCAAACCCCCUGGACAUGCCCAGCUCCAAUAAAUCUUCGGAGCGACCAUAAUUAUUAUCAGUGCCAUUUUCAACAUGAGCAAAACAAUCUAUUUAUCCUUAUUCUCUCAGAACAGAACGAUCCUCUCCAGCUGGAGCUGACUUUUCUCUCUCUUCACACUGCUUUUUUUCCCCUCCUGCUGCUGUCAGCCUUCGGAAAGCGCUUGUUGUGGCAAAUUUCACCCCCAGUAAUAUAUUGCCCCUUACGUUUCUAACUGAAUUUCCAAUGGGUGACGUCCACAGCACCUGCUGCUACCAGUGCCAUCGCAGUGGUGGCCACAGACAGUGCUGGGCAGAGGGUCAGAAUCCCUUCUCACACAGCAAAGCACAAGAAAACACAGGACAGCCACAGGUUUUUGCUCUAAAUCCAUGCCAAAAAGCAGACUGCAUGGCUUUGGUUGGAUGGGGGGCACCGCCUGCGCAUCCGUCUGUUCUCUGCCUGAAAAAGUGAAUGCUUCCUCGCAGCUCAAAAAUACUCCUUUUAUGUAUUUGUGGAACAAUAGGGUCUCCCUCUGGUGGCAAAUCCAGCCCGAGGUGUGCUGACAUGGCAGCGGGUGUAUGGGACAGCCAGCUGGCACCGGGCAGUGCCAAAGGGACUCACUGGAUUUUCGUCAGUGCUGGGUAGUGCUGGGCUGGGAUCCCCACACCCAUCCCAAAAG
ensembl:lncRNA